rnacentral:rRNA from 1 species
UGCCCUAGUAACGGCGAGUGAAGCGGCAACAGCUCAAAUUUGAAAGCUAGCCUUCGGGUUCGCAUUGUAAUUUGUAGAGGAUGAUUUGGGGAAGCCGCCUGUCUAAGUUCCUUGGAACAGGACGUCAUAGAGGGUGAGAAUCCCGUAUGUGACAGGAAAUGGCACCCUAUGUAAAUCUCCUUCGACGAGUCGAGUUGUUUGGGAAUGCAGCUCUAAAUGGGAGGUAAAUUUCUUCUAAAGCUAAAUAUUGGCGAGAGACCGAUAGCGCACAAGUAGAGUGAUCGAAAGAUGAAAAGCACUUUGGAAAGAGAGUUAAAAAGCACGUGAAAUUGUUGAAAGGGAAGCGCUUGCAAUCAGACUUGUUUAAACUGUUCGGCCGGUCUUCUGACCGGUUUACUCAGUUUGGACAGGCCAGCAUCAGUUUCGGCGGCCGGAUAAAGGCUCUGGGAAUGUGGCCUCCACUUCGGUGGAGGUGUUAUAGCCCAGGGUGUAAUACGGCCAGCCGGGACUGAGGUCCGCGCUUCGGCUAGGAUGCUGGCGUAAUGGUUGUAAGCGACCCGUCUUGAAACACGGACCAAGGAGUCUAACAUCUAUGCGAGUGUUCGGGUGUCAAACCCCUGCGCGUAAUGAAAGUGAACGGAGGUGGGAACCCGCAAGGGUGCACCAUCGACCGAUCCUGAUGUCUUCGGAUGGAUUUGAGUAAGAGCAUAGCUGUUGGGACCCGAAAGAUGGUGAACUAUGCCUGAAUAGGGUGAAGCCAGAGGAAACUCUGGU